rnacentral:rRNA from 1 species
UGGGGAAUAUUGGACAAUGGGCGCAAGCCUGAUCCAGCAAUGCCGCGUGUGUGAAGAAGGUCUUCGGAUUGUAAAGCACUUUCGACGGGGACGAUGAUGACGGUACCCGUAGAAGAAGCCCCGGCUAACUUCGUGCCAGCAGCCGCGGUAAUACGAAGGGGGCUAGCGUUGCUCGGAAUGACUGGGCGUAAAGGGCGCGUAGGCGGAUGGCACAGUCAGAUGUGAAAUUCCCGGGCUUAACCUGGGGGCUGCAUUUGAUACGUGUGAUCUAGAGUGAGGAAGAGGGUUGUGGAAUUCCCAGUGUAGAGGUGAAAUUCGUAGAUAUUGGGAAGAACACCGGUGGCGAAGGCGGCAACCUGGUCCUUGACUGACGCUGAGGCGCGAAAGCGUGGGGAGCAAACAGGAUUAGAUACCCGCGUAGUCC